GGGCUGGUCCUCCCCCGCACCAGUCCUGGCAGGCACCUCUCUCCACCCUUCUGUGACGCUGGCCAGCUAGCUGGCAUCACUCCUUCUCCAAUGCCAGAGCAGCCGGCUGCUUGCCAGGCAAGGCCAAA